rnacentral:rRNA from 1 species
GGCUCAGGAUGAACGCUGGCGGUAUGCUUAACACAUGCAAGUCGAACGGAAUGCUUAGGCAUUUAGUGGCGGACGGGUGAGUAACGCGUGAGAAUUUGGCUUCAGGUCGGGGACAACAGUUGGAAACGACUGCUAAUACCGGAUAUGCCGGAAGGUGAAAGAUUGCCUGAAGAUAAGCUCGCGUCUGAUUAGCUAGUUGGUGGGGUAAGAGCCUACCAAGGCGACGAUCAGUAGCUGGUCUGAGAGGAUGAUCAGCCACACUGGGACUGAGACACGGCCCAGACUCCUACGGGAGGCAGCAGUGGGGAAUUUUCCGCAAUGGGCGAAAGCCUGACGGAGCAAUACCGCGUGAGGGAGGAAGGCUCUUGGGUCGUAAACCUCUUUUCUCAGGGAAGAAAAAAAUGACGUACCUGAGGAAUAAGCAUCGGCUAACUCCGUGCCAGCAGCCGCGGUAAUACGGAGGAUGCAAGCGUUAUCCGGAAUGAUUGGGCGUAAAGGGUCUGUAGGUGGUGCUGUAAGUCUGCUGUUAAAGAGUCACGCUCAACGUGAUAAAAGCGGUGGAAACUACAGGACUAGAGUGCGGUCGGGGCAGAAGGAAUUCCUGGUGUAGCGGUGAAAUGCGUAGAUAUCAGGAAGAACACCGGUGGCGAAAGCGUUCUGCUAGUCCGCAACUGACACUGAGGGACGAAAGCUAGGGGAGCGAAUGGGAUUAGAUACCCCAGUAGUCCUAGCCGUAAACGAUGGAUACUAGGCGUGGCUUGUAUCGACCCGAGCCGUGCCGGAGCUAACGCGUUAAGUAUCCCGCCUGGGGAGUACGCACGCAAGUG